rnacentral:rRNA from 1 species
UACGGGGGGGGCAAGCGUUGUUCGGAAUUACUGGGCGUAAAGGGCUCGUAGGCGGCCAACUAAGUCAGACGUGAAAUCCCUCGGCUUAACCGGGGAACUGCGUCUGAUACUGGAUGGCUUGAGUCCGGGAGAGGGAUGCGGAAUUCCAGGUGUAGCGGUGAAAUGCGUAGAUAUCUGGAGGAACACCGGUGGCGAAGGCGGCAUCCUGGGUCGGUAUUGACGCUGAGGAGCGAAAGCCAGGGGAGCAAACGGG